AAGUCGUAACAAGGUAUCCGUAGGUGAACCUGCGGAUGGAUCAUUAAAAAACCAAAAGCUAACGUGCUUUAAAACCACGUUACUAACCCAAACCUAUGUGCACUCUGUCAUCGCGGGUGAUAGCUUGUGACCGGGGUCGAGCAUCGUUUCCCCUCGCGGGAGAGCGAUUACGCUGGUCUUCCACGGUGAGAAGGAAGACUUAUGACUUGUCACACGCUGCGACUCACUUGCACUUUUUUUUAUUCUCGCCACCUUUUUAUUAACCCAUUGAACUUUUACAAACUAUUUUUUUAGUUGUACUGAACGUUUUCUCAUUUCUACCGUCUGUUUUUGGCCUUCGGGUCGGAUUCGGAUUGUGAAACAAAUAAGAAACGCAAGAACAACUCUUAGCAACGGAUAUCUAGGUUCUC
rnacentral:misc_RNA from 1 species